AUAUCUACAACAAGAUUAAUAUUUCUGAUCGAAAAUUUUAGUGCUAUAUCACCACUUUUUAUAGGAUUUUUAUUUUCAGUCGUUAAAAAUUAUUGAUUUUGAAUCCUUUCGAUUGUUAGGUAAAUGAUAUCGAAAAAUCGCAAAAAUUAUUUUCUAGAAACUUCAUAUACACUAGAUAAAGUUUAACGAAUUCGUUCAUCGAUUCGGAAACUCCAUCAUCGAAAACGGCUUAGGAGCACGGAGGCCUCCGUGCUCCUGAGAGCACA
rnacentral:lncRNA from 1 species